UUCACUGUUUGUUUUUUUGUCAAACUCCAAACUUUCAUCGGUAUUUCCCAAAUUUUAAAGGAUAUAUAUGUAUGUGCCUUCAAUUCAAGACCCUGCUGAAACAAGUACAAAAACCCCCAAAUGUCAAUUUCGACUUCAGUUUUCCUUGGAGAGGAGAAGCCAAUCACUUGUCAAUUUCAAAAAAAUCAUCACAAUAGGCGAAUUUCGAAAGAUCAGAAAUAAAAAAUGAAUGCGAAAUCACAGUAGAAGAUCCAGCAAGCUUCAAUGAAGAACUUGUGGCAGUAUAUUUAGAUAUUAACUUUUUAGCUAUGAAAUAUGAAUGAGAUACGCACUAUAUUGGAAAAAAUAGAACAGAUCAUGGAAGAGAGAGAAACCUUGUGAUAGAAGCCGGUUGAUCACUACUGAUACAUUGAGUUGUAAAGAAAGAAACAUUCGUCAUUGACAUCCUUGAUUAUGUUAUGCCUAAGCAGUCACUUCUUUUUCAAUUUUUGCGCAAUGCUCCCUCGUGUUUGAAAUAUUCCAGUAUGCUCCUCUACACCUGGCAAAGACUGGCAAAGUACACCGAUGACGGACGAAAAUAAAAUUUACCAGAAUUGUUUUAGUUCUAUGCUAUGAUU
rnacentral:lncRNA from 1 species